rnacentral:rRNA from 1 species
AACGAACGCUGGCGGCAUGCCUAACACAUGCAAGUCGAACGAGACCUUCGGGUCUAGUGGCGCACGGGUGCGUAACGCGUGGGAACCUGCCCUUAGGUUCGGAAUAACUCCCCGAAAGGGGUGCUAAUACCGGAUAAUGUCUUCGGACCAAAGAUUUAUCGCCUUUGGAUGGGCCCGCGUUGGAUUAGCUAGUUGGUAGGGUAAAAGCCUACCAAGGCGACGAUCCAUAGCUGGUCUGAGAGGAUGAUCAGCCACACUGGGACUGAGACACGGCCCAGACUCCUACGGGAGGCAGCAGUGGGGAAUAUUGGACAAUGGGCGAAAGCCUGAUCCAGCAAUGCCGCGUGAGUGAUGAAGGCCUAGGGUUGUAAAGCUCUUUUACCCGGGAUGAUAAUGACAGUACCGGGAGAAUAAGCUCCGGCUAACUCCGUG